rnacentral:rRNA from 1 species
CCUACGGGUUGCAGCAGUAGGGAAUAUUAGUAAUGGGCGAAAGCCUGAACUAGCAACGCCGCGUGUGCGAAGAAGGCCUUCGGGUCGUAAAGCACUUUUUGAGAGGAUGAGGAAGGACGGUACUCUCAGAAUAAGUCUCGGCUAACUACGUGCCAGCAGCCGCGGUAACACGUAGGAGGCAAACGUUAUCCGGAUUUACUGGGCGUAAAGCGCGUGUAGGUGGUUUGGUAAGUAGGGCGUGAAAGCUCCUGGCUCAACUGGGAGAGGACGUUCUAAACUGCCAAGCUUGAGGAUGGUAGAGGGAGGUGGAAUUCCGGGUGUAGCGGUGGAAUGCGCAGAUAUCCGGAGGAACACCAGUGGCGAAGGCGGCCUCCUGGACCACUCCUGACACUCAGACGCGAAAGCUAGGGUAGCAAACGGGAUUAGAUACCCUAGUAGUC